CUAAGCCAUGCGAGUCGAGAGGUGCAAGACCUCGGCAUACUGCUCAGUAACACGUGGACAACCUAACCUAUGGAGGGGGAUAACCCCGGGAAACUGGGGAUAAUACCCCAUAGACUAUGGAUGCUGGAAUGCUCUGUAGUUGAAAGGUCCGCCGCCAUAGGAUGGGUCUGCGGCCGAUUAGGUUGUUGUUGGGGUAACGGCCCAACAAGCCUGUAAUCGGUACGGGUUGUGGGAGCAAGAGCCCGGAGAUGGAUUCUGAGACACGAAUCCAGGCCCUACGGGGCGCAGCAGGCGCGAAAACUUUACAAUGCGGGAAACCGUGAUAAGGGAACUCCGAGUGCCCGUAAAAUCGGGCUGUCCAUCUGUUUAAAUAACAGGUGAAGAAAGGGCCGGGCAAGACCGGUGCCAGCCGCCGCGGUAAUACCGGCGGCUCGAGUGGUGGCCACUAUUACUGGGCUUAAAGCGUUCGUAGCUGGUUUGUUAAGUCUCUGGGGAAAUCUGCCGGCUCAACCGGCAGGCGUUCCAGGGAUACUGGCAGACUAGGGACCGGGAGAGGUGAGGGGUACUCCAGGGGUAGGAGUGAAAUCCUGUAAUCCUUGGGGGACCACCUGUGGCGAAGGCGCCUCACCAGAACGGCUCCGACAGUGAGGGACGAAAGCUGGGGGAGCAAACCGGAUUAGAUACCCGGGUAGUCCCAGCCGUAAACGAUGCGCGUUAGGUGUAUCGGUGACCACGAGUCACCGAGGUGCCGAAGAGAAAUCGUGAAACGUGCCGCCUGGGAAGUACGGUCGCAAGGCUGAAACUUAAAGGAAUUGGCGGGGGAGCACCACAACAGGUGGAGCCUGCGGUUUAAUCGGACUCAACGCCGGAAAUCUCACCGGAUAAGACAGCUGGAUGAUAGUCGGGCUGAAGACUCUACUUGACUAGCUGAGAGGAGGUGCAUGGCCA
rnacentral:rRNA from 1 species